AAUAGGCUUGCCUUGCACAUAUGGAGGCUAAUUCCAUUGUGUGUGAUGUGGCGUCUAUGGUGAGAACGGAAUGCACGCAACUUUGAGGAUCAUGAGAGCAGCAUGCUUGAGUUGGCCCUAAAACCCUAAGCCUCUUGUCUUCCUUCUCUUCCUUCUACACCUUCUCUUCCGUAGGUGUAGAGAUCGACACAGGCAAAGACAGGGAAGGAAUGGGGGCGGAGACGAAUAACAAGGGGGAGAAUGAUAAAAGGAAGGAUUCUACGAAGUCUCAAUCCAAAGAAGAGCCUUCAGUUAGUGAAAAACCUCAAAACAGCAAGUAGCAUCUGAUUCUAAGUAUAUACGAUUCUGAUUACAAGGAUUUUUCGGAGAAUGAUGACUCUGGCGAAUUGUUGAGUGAAUCAGAAGCCGAAGAAAGUGAAUCUUCUGGAGAUGAGGGUGUUGUCAACUCAGAUGAUGGCUCGGACAACGAUCACGCGCAAGAAGGUCAAAGUGAUAGCUCUGAACUCCAUCAAGGAGUUGAAGAGAGUGAUUCAUCUGAAGACGAGGUUGA